rnacentral:snRNA from 1 species
GUGCUCACUUCGGCAGCACAUAUACUAAAAUUGGAAUGAUACAAAGAAGAUUAGCAUGGCCCUUGCGCAAGGAUGACACGCAAAUUCAUGAAGCGUUCCAUAUUUUU